CUCUUUUCCACAGAAGAGGUGCAUAUUCACAGCAGAGACCAGACAACCUCAAGUCAAUGCAAGUGUGUGCUAGGAAACACUACAUUAGUCAGUUAAGCUGACUAGUCUUGCUCCAAAAUGAGCCAAACUCAGGACCAAGACAAGGAAGGGGCAGCAACAGCCUCCCCUGGUGCUGUGAGAUUGGUUUUCUGUGUUGGAAGGAGAGCAUGGAGAGCAGCUGCUGUCUCCCGGCCUGGUGCACAGUAUACAAGAGUGCGUGGCACAGAAUUCAUCUACCAAAUAUCCCAACAGGUUAACCAGUUCUGGAGGGAGGAAGUCACAGCUCUUACUUUUGAAGGUUCUUUGUACUGAGUAUAAAAGAGUCUGUGUUUCUGGGAAUAAUAUGUCUCUCUUCAAAUUGACUCUAUCUACUCUAGGCAGCAAGAUGCUGCUGCUAAAACUUGAUAAUCUCCUGCUGAUGAGAUGGUGACAAGAGAAAAAUUAAAUACAAGUAUGAGCUUGGCAAAAACAAACAUAUGCAAGCUCUGGAAACCAGGCAGCAGUAUAAUUCUCGUUGCAAGUUUCUGAGUGCUUCUUAUGUGAGGUAUUGUGCCCAGUGCUAUACACGCAUUAUCUCUAUUAAUUUUCUCAAUCCUGAAAGAUACAUGCUAUUCUUAACCCUGCUUUAUAGAUGGAAAAAUCGAAGACUAGAGAAGAAUCGUGGUUUUUACGAGGGAUCUAGCCUUUUAAAUGACAGAGCUGACAUUCAUCUAGGUUUCUCUGAUUCUUCGAAACUUAAAGAAAUUCCUGGAAAGCUUCCUUCACAGACCAAGCAUUCUAAAAGAGGUUCAUGUUGGAUUUCCAAUGAGAACCACUGAGUGUAUUCCCUUUGGAAUCCAUAAUGCUGCUGCUGAUAAUCAUUCAGGGAGGAACAUUUUCAUCCUAUUCUUUGUCUCUUUUUUUUUUCUUCCGUAUCUUCUUCACAAGAAGCAAUCUAGUGUUGGCCCCUUUCUCCUUAAACAAUUCACAAUUGAAAUCGCUAUUCAUGAUCUCAAUUCUAUUCUGAAAGAUUAUUUAUUUCACUGGCCACUUUUCUUCCUGACAUUCCUAAGCUCUCUUUGAUGUCCGGAAAAGUUAAGUCACUAUUCACUAGUUCUCACUGCUGGUAACAUAUAAUUCAUAGCAACUACUUGGUCAUAGAGCCGGACCCAAACCAACUCAUCUGUUCUAUAAUCCAUGAAGCUUCAGGCCUCAUACCUCAUCUUCCUCUAGAAACAUUAUUUCUAAAAUACUUUUCAAUUUGCAUACAGUAAAAUACACCCUCUGCGGUGUACUGUUUUAUGAGUUUAACAAAUGCUUGCAGUCGUAUAAGUACUACUACAAUCAAGAUACAGAGCAUUUCCAUCCCAUUCAAAUAAAUCCCCUCAUGCUAUUCCUUUGUUGUCACCUGCUCCUAACUUGCCAACCGCUGACCAUUCUCUGUCCCUGCUACUUUGGUUUUCUCCAUAAUGUCAUAUAAAAUAUAAUCAUAUAACAUAUAUCUCUCAGUCAGGCUUGUUUCAUUCAGCAUAAUCCAUUCAUAUUUUUGGAGGAGAUGGGCAAAAUGGGUGAAGGGAGCCAACUGUACAGCUAUGGAUGGUAACUAGACUUGUGGUGGUGAUCACUUAGUAGUGUAUGAAUGUCAAUUAUAAUGUUGUACAUCUGAAACUAAUGUAAUAAAAAAUAAAUUUACCCAUGUUUUUUGAA